rnacentral:rRNA from 1 species
UACGAAGGGGGCUAGCGUUGUUCGGAAUCACUGGGCGUAAAGCGCACGUAGGCGGAUCUUUAAGUCAGGGGUGAAAUCCCGAAGGCUCAACCUCGGAACUGCCUUUGAUACUGGGGAUCUCGAGUCCGGGAGAGGUGAGUGGAACUGCGAGUGUAGAGGUGAAAUUCGUAGAUAUUCGCAAGAACACCAGUGGCGAAGGCGGCUCACUGGCCCGGUACUGACGCUGA